UACGUAGGUGGCAAGCGUUGUCCGGAAUUAUUGGGCGUAAAGCGCGCGCAGGCGGUCCUUUAAGUCUGAUGUGAAAGCCCACGGCUCAACCGUGGAGGGUCAUUGGAAACUGGGGACUUGAGUGCAGAAGAGGAAAGCGGAAUUCCACGUGUAGCGGUGAAAUUGCGUAGAGAUGUGGAGGAACACCAGUGGCGAAGGCGGCUUUCUGGUCUGUAACUGACGCUGAGGCGCGAAAGCGUGGGGAGCAAACAGG
rnacentral:rRNA from 1 species